GUUUCUUCUCCUGACUGAGCCACCCUUAUCCCCUAUCCAUGAAGUGGGCAAACCAGAACCUACCUCACGAGAGGUGUUGGGGAGCAAUGAAAGAAUGCACAUUUGGCAUCUCAAGCUCAGGGUACCCGGGAAAUGAUCCCUGUCAGCCCUCAGCAUUACCCAUGCAUUGCUGUUGAGGGCUUAGAGACAACGCAACAUAAAAAUGACAAUUUGAAAAUACAAGUAGGAAGGGUGGAGUUGUGAAGAUAUUGAGCUUUUAGGGACAAGUGAGAGGAAAAAUGAACAAAUAUGGACUGAGUGCUUUCCAUAUGCAAUGUCCUAUUUCCUAAAAGUAGAAAUGCCUUGUCACUAAAACAAAACAAAACAGAACAAAACAAAGCAAAGCAAAACAAAAUAAAAAACAGCCCCACUGGAAUCUGUGAGCUCAUUCAUUGGGCAAGCCAGACUUUACUGUGAUUCGGAGAGCCAGGCUCUGUGCUGCGGCUAUGGGGAGCAGACACGGGUCCUGUUAUCCAAGAGCCACAGCCCACGGCAAAGAGGGGACAAAGAAGGACUAGAGAAGACAAGUCCUUAUCACAGCACAUGGAGGAAGGUGGCCAGCAUGGCUGGAGGGGAACAUUCAAGACAUUGAAGAGACAGGUUGGAAAGGUGCCCUCAGACGCAUCGGUGACCCAGGGACGUUUGCUCGUGGAAGCGGCAUCUGUCUGGAAAAAUGGGUAGCAGCGACCCAUGGAGACAACAAGGUAGAGAGUGGAAGGAGCAGCAAGCCCAGUCAAGAGAGGGCAGAAAGAAACUUCAAGAAAUGACAUAGGUGGGCCUGGCCUGUCUCCCAGGAUUAAUGGAAACAGGGUGGGUGAGUGUUUGACAAAUGGAAAAAGCAGUGUUCCUGUGAGCCUGUCAUGCCUGGAAAUCAGUGUAUCUGGAUCUCAGUUUCCCAACAGCCACAAUCAAGAAAUAUUUAUUGAAGGGCACCUGGGUGACUCAGUCGGUUGAGUGACUCUUGAUUUUGGCUCAGGUCAUGAUCUCGCUGUCAUGAGAUAGAGCCCAGCAUGGGGCUCCAUGCCGAUAGCACAGAGCCUGCUUGGGAUCCUCACUCCCUCUCUCUCUGCCCCUCCCCUGCUUGCACUCUCUUUUUCUCUGAAGAAGAAGAAGAAGAAGAAGAAGAAGGAGAAGAAGGAGAAGGAGAAGGAGAAGAAAAAGAAAGAGAAGAGAAGAAAAGAAAGGAAAAGAAAAGAAAAGAAAAGAAAAGAAAAGAAAAGAAAAGAAAAGACAGGAAAGGAAGUAGUUAUCGAGCAUCUACUGUGUUUUGGGUUAAGACUGUGGGCUUAGGGGUCACACUGACCUGGGUUUGAAUCCUGGCUCCACCCCUUCCCAGCUCUGUUUCAUCUGACACAUGUCCCUUAAAUUCAGUGAGUCUCAGUGUAACUCACCUAUAAGAUGUGGAUAGUACUAGGGCCCAAGUCCCUGGGCUGCAUGAGGAUUAGAUGAGAUAAUCUGUAAAACUCCUAGCAUGGGUUCUUGGUAAAAGCCAACACGAGUUUGACUGUGGUGCUUGUCAAGGGCUAGGGAUACUGUUGUAGGGACACAAGACAGACAGUCCCUGACCUCAUGGAGCUCACAGGCUGGCAGGAUUGGCAUUUAACAGACAUUUACUUGAAGAAGUGUUUCCCGGUGAGUGAAACAAGAGAUUUGACCUAGAUAUUGACUUACAGUGACUCUUACUCUGGAGGGCUUACUUGAAUUUAUCUGUUUCAACCCAGGGCUCCCCUGCUAGGAGCUGCCACCCCCUUGCGUGUCCCCUGGGGGCAAGGAGGCUUACCUGCCUGCCUUCUCUUGGGUUGCACACCUGCAGAACGACCAGGGACCCGGGGGUGAUGGAGGUGGAGGUGGCAGUCAGGCACUUCCCCUGCUGCUGGAUGAGAUGGUCGCUGAACAGCCACGCCUACAAGGCAGGGACAUCAAAGGCCAAGUCAAAAUGCUCAGUGAUGGAUGGAUAGAUGGGUAGAUUGGUG